AGUGAACGCUGGCGGUAGGCCUAACACAUGCCAGUCGAACGGCAGCACAGUAAGAGCUUGCUCUUACGGGUGGCGAGUGGCGGACGUGUGAGGAAUACAUCGGAAUCUACUUUUUCGUGGGGGAUCACGUAGGGAAACUUACGCUAAUACCGCAUACGACCUACGGGUGAAAGCAGGGGAUCUUCGGACCUUGCGCGGUUGAAUGAGCCGGUGUCGGAUUUGCUAGUUGGGGGGGUAAAGGCCCACCAAGGCGACGAUCGGUAGCUGGUCUGAGAGGAUGAUCAGCCACACUGGAGCUGCGACACGGUCCAGGCUCCUACGGGAGGCAGCAGUGGCGAAUAUUGGACAAUGGGCGCAAGCAUGAUCCAGCCAGCCCGCGUGGGUGGAGAAGGCCUUCGGGUUGUAAAGCCCUUUUGUUGGGAAAGAAAAGCAGCAGGUUAAUACCCCGCUGUUCUGACGGUACCCAAAGAAUAAGCACCGGCUAACUUCGUG
rnacentral:rRNA from 1 species